rnacentral:rRNA from 1 species
UACCCGCAGCACAAGUGGUGGUCAUUAUUAUUGGGCCUAAGGCGUCCGUAGCUGGCUUGUUAGAUGCCUGGGUAAAUCGAUGCGCUCAACGUAUCGAACUCCGGGUAGACCGGCAAGCUUGGGACCGGGAGAGAUGUGAGCUACUCGAGGGGUAGGGGUAAAAUCCUGUAAUCCUUCGGGGAGGACCAGUGGCGAAGGCGUCACAUUAGAACGGCUCCGACAGUGAGGGACGAAGCCCUGGGGCGCAAACCGG